UGGGGAAUAUUGCACAAUGGGCGCAAGCCUGAUGCAGCCAUGCCGCGUGUGUGAAGAAGGCCUUCGGGUUGUAAAGCACUUUCAGCGAGGAGGAAGGUGGUGAGCUUAAUACGCUCAUCAAUUGACGUUACUCGCAGAAGAAGCACCGGCUAACUCCGUGCCAGCAGCCGCGGUAAUACGGAGGGUGCAAGCGUUAAUCGGAAUUACUGGGCGUAAAGCGCACGCAGGCGGUUUGUUAAGUCAGAUGUGAAAUCCCCGGGCUCAACCUGGGAACUGCAUUUGAAACUGGCAAGCUAGAGUCUCGUAGAGGGGGGUAGAAUUCCAGGUGUAGCGGUGAAAUGCGUAGAGAUCUGGAGGAAUACCGGUGGCGAAGGCGGCCCCCUGGACGAAGACUGACGCUCAGGUGCGAAAGCGUGGGGCAGCAAACAGGAUUAGAUACCCUGGUAGUCCACGCUGUAAACGAUGUCGAUUUUGGAGGUUGUGCCCUUGAGGCGUGGCUUCCGGAGCUAACGCGUUAAAGUCGACCGCCU
rnacentral:rRNA from 1 species